rnacentral:rRNA from 1 species
CCUACGGGUGGCAGCAGUGGGGAAUAUUGCACAAUGGGGGAAACCCUGAUGCAGCGACGCCGCGUGAGUGAAGAAGUAAUUCGUUAUGUAAAGCUCUAUCAGCAGGGAAGAAAAUGACGGUACCUGAGUAAGAAGCCUCGGCUAACUACGUGCCAGCAGCCGCGGUAAUACGUAGGGGGCAAGCGUUAUCUGGAUUUACUGGGUGUAAAGGGAGCGUAGACGGCAGUGCAAGUCUGGAGUGAAAGGCGGGGGCUCAACCCCCGGACUGCUCUGGAAACUGUGAAGCUGGAGUGCAGGAGAGGUGAGCGGAAUUCCUGGUGUAGCGGUGGAAUGCGUAGAUAUCAGGAGGAACACCGGCGGCGAAGGCGGCUUACUGGACUGUAACUGACGUUGAGGCUCGAAGGCAUGGGGAGCAAACAGGAUUAGAUACCCGGGUAGUC